rnacentral:rRNA from 1 species
CGAGUGGCGGACGGGUGAGUAACACGUAGGUAACCUGCCCAGAAGCGGGGGACAACAUUUGGAAACAGAUGCUAAUACCGCAUAACAGCGUUGUUCGCAUGAACAACGCUUAAAAGAUGGCUUCUCGCUAUCACUUCUGGAUGGACCUGCGGUGCAUUAGCUUGUUGGUGGGGUAACGGCCUACCAAGGCGAUGAUGCAUAGCCGAGUUGAGAGACUGAUCGGCCACAAUGGGACUGAGACACGGCCCAUACUCCUACGGGAGGCAGCAGUAGGGAAUCUUCCACAAUGGGCGCAAGCCUGAUGGAGCAACACCGCGUGAGUGAAGAAGGGUUUCGGCUCGUAAAGCUCUGUUGUUAAAGAAGAACACGUAUGAGAGUAACUGUUCAUACGUUGACGGUAUUUAACCAGAAAGUCACGGCUAACUACGUGCCAGCAGCCGCGGUAAUACGUAGGUGGCAAGCGUUAUCCGGAUUUAUUGGGCGUAAAGAGAGUGCAGGCGGUUUUCUAAGUCUGAUGUGAAAGCCUUCGGCUUAACCGGAGAAGUGCAUCGGAAACUGGAUAACUUGAGUGCAGAAGAGGGUAGUGGAACUCCAUGUGUAGCGGUGGAAUGCGUAGAUAUAUGGAAGAACACCAGUGGCGAAGGCGGCUACCUGGUCUGCAACUG